GACGUAGGUGGCGAGCGUUGUUCGGAAUCACUGGGCAUAAAGCGCACGUAGGCGGCCAAGUCAGUCAGGUGUGAAAUACCUCGGCUCAACCGAGGAACUGCGCCUGAUACUGCUUGGCUUGAGGUCCGGAGGGGAGAGUGGAAUUCCCGGUGGAGCGGUGAAAUGCGUAGAGAUCGGGAAGAACGCUGGCGGCGAAAGCGACUCUCUGGUCGGAAUCUGACGCUGAGGUGCGAAAGCUAGGGGAGCAAACGGG
rnacentral:rRNA from 1 species